rnacentral:rRNA from 1 species
GAUGAACGCUGGCGGCGUGCCUAAUACAUGCAAGUCGAGCGAACAGACGAGGAGUUUGCUCCUCUGACGUUAGCGGCGGACGGGUGAGUAACACGUGGAUAACCUACCUAUAUGACUGGGAUAACUUCGGGAAGCCGGAGCUAAUACCGGAUAAUAUAUUGAACAGCAUGGUUCAAUAGUGAAAGACGGUUUUGCUGUCACUUAUAGAUGGAUCCGCGCGGCAUUAGCUAGUUGGUAAGGUAACGGCUUACCAAGGCGACGAUGCGUAGCCGACCUGAGAGGGUGAUCGGCCACACUGGAGCUGAGACGCGGUCCAGACUCCUACGGGAGGCAGCAGUAGGGAAUGUUCGGCAGAGGGCGAAAGUCUGACGGAGCAAGGGCGCGUGUGUGAUGAAGGUCUUCGGAUCGUAAAGCUCUGUUAUUAGGGAAGAACAAAUGUGUAAGUAAAUAUGCACGUCUUGACGGUACCUAAUCAAAAAGCAACGGCUAACUACGUG